GCGGCGUGCCCUAUACAUGCAAGUCGAGCGAAUGGAUUAAGAGCUUGCUCUUAUGAAGUUAGCGGCGGACGGGUGAGUAACACGUGGGUAACCUGCCCAUAAGACUGGGAUAACUCCGGGAAACCGGGGCUAAUACCGGAUAACAUUUUGAACCGCAUGGUUCGAAAUUGAAAGGCGGCUUCGGCUGUCACUUAUGGAUGGACCCGCGUCGCAUUAGCUAGUUGGUGAGGUAACGGCUCACCAAGGCAACGAUGCGUAGCCGACCUGAGAGGGUGAUCGGCCACACUGGGACUGAGACACGGCCCAGACUCCUACGGGAGGCAGCAGUAGGGAAUCUUCCGCAAUGGACGAAAGUCUGACGGAGCAACGCCGCGUGAGUGAUGAAGGCUUUCGGGUCGUAAAACUCUGUUGUUAGGGAAGAACAAGUGCUAGUUGAAUAAGCUGGCACCUUGACGGUACCUAACCAGAAAGCCACGGCUAACUACGUGCCAGCAGCCGCGGUAAUACGUAGGUGGCAAGCGUUAUCCGGAAUUAUUGGGCGUAAAGCGCGCGCAGGUGGUUUCUUAAGUCUGAUGUGAAAGCCCACGGCUCAACCGUGGAGGGUCAUUGGAAACUGGGAGACUUGAGUGCAGAAGAGGAAAGUGGAAUUCCAUGUGUAGCGGUGAAAUGCGUAGAGAUAUGGAGGAACACCAGUGGCGAAGGCGACUUUCUGGUCUGUAACUGAC
rnacentral:rRNA from 1 species